ACACAUGGAUUUGUGUGUGUAUAAUGUGCUCUAUUAUACGAAAGAGAAGGAAGUUUUGGAGGGAGAAGGAUUCGGGUGCGAGAAGCUUGAUGGCUGUAUGGGAAAUUGCGAGAAGCGCGAAAUUGAGCUUGGAAUGAAUGUUAUGAAGUGUGGGUAAGGGAUCGACUAUUGAUGAUUGUUGCUUAUCAAUCUUUCCAUUGUACGGUUACGAGGAAAUUUGCUUAACUGCUGAAACUAGACUUUGUAGUAUAUAAUCUCUUUCACCGUGGCAUUCCUCUUUGUACAUGGAAAAGUAUACAUAUAUGUAGUUUUUUCUAAAGAGUUGAGUCAUAAUUUAGAGAAUAAAAAAAAACAGUAUAAUUAUAUCAAGAGUUUAAAAUAAGGUAUUUUUGUACCCCGGUCAGGCCUAAAAAGAAAAAAAAAAUGCUGAAUUGAAUCAUCUUUUACUAUAUUGUUGGUCUGCGACUUCGAUAGUAAUGUAAAAUUGACCAAAGUUGUAAUAUAGUAAAAAGCUUCAGCAGCAAAAGAAACUGUAAUAUCUAAAUUCAUCUGAAAACAAAAAUUUCAAACUUUUGUUUUUCUUUUGAUAAAUAUCAUAAACUUAAUAAAUGACUCCAAGCUCAUUGCAGUCGAGUAGCUUGUAUUCAUUAAGGCCUGAUGGAAUAGGUCUUUUAUCAAUAAUAUAUGCAUUUUUAUGUUACUAAUGCAUAGCAGGGUCAAUAUACUAGAGGCUUGAAACAAGAUAGGGUUAGGUUAUGUCACAUAAGAAACCAAACCUAUUCAGUAAAGCAAGUGAGAGAAUGUGAACCAUUCAGGGAAAGAUAAAUUCAAAUAAGGCUACAGUUAUUGUUAUCAGCAAACAGAUCUUUUUUGUGACGUAAAAUUUCUUGUUAAAAACUCCGAUUUAUUCUUAAAAAAGACUCAAACUUAGGGUAACGGUCAAGCUGAAAGAACUGUAUCUAAGAAGCAUUUUCAUUUAAUCCUGACUUCUUGAGAUGGGAUGCACAUAUUAACGAGACUGAAAAGUCAAUAAGAGUGCAGCAAUAAUCACGCAAUUAAAAAUUGAAAAUAAAUAUGUCCCCUUUGACCUAGAUAUUGCAAUUAUUUUUGCAUUUUUGGCAUAAAUUCAUCAUCAUAGAUUAGUCAUUGUAAUCUUGAAUAAAAACUCCUUCAAAACCA